ACUCCUACGGGAGGCAGCAGUGGGGAAUAUUGCACAAUGGGGGAAACCCUGAUGCAGCCAUGCCGCGUGUGUGAAGAAGGCCUUCGGGUUGUAAAGUACUUUCAGCAGUGAGGAAGGUGGGUAUGUUAAUAGCAUACUCAUUUGUACGUUAGCUGCAGAAGAAGCACCGGCUAACUCCGUGCCAGCAGCCGCGGUAAUACGGAGGGUGCGAGCGUUAAUCGGAAUUACUGGGCGUAAAGCGCAUGCAGGUGGUUUGUUAAGUCAGAUGUGAAAGCCCGGGGCUCAACCUCGGAAUUGCAUUUGAAACUGGCAAACUAGAGUACUGUAGAGGGGGUAGAAUUUCAGGUGUAGCGGUGAAAUGCGUAGAGAUCUGAAGGAAUACCGGUGGCGAAGGCGGCCCCUGGACAGAUACUGACACUCAGAUGCGAAAGCGUGGGAGCAAACAGGAUUAGAUACCCCGUGGUAGGAUAGCG
rnacentral:rRNA from 1 species